GGCAUGUACCUGUGGGGCAGUGCUGCAUGUACUGUGUGCAGCCACACCCAUGUGCUACAUAUGUCAAGAAGACAGCAACCCAUUGGCCCAAAUCUCUUUGCCUGCAUCAGAUACUGCAGCACACUCAGCUGACCCAGACGUGUUAGUUGAGACCUCUGGAUCUGAUGAAGGCUCUGCACUACAACAGGGUAACUUUUCAAAUUCUUGCAUUUGACUGACCUAACUGAACUUUGGCUAAACCUCAUUUGCACU